UAUUAAACUUUCUCUACUCCCACUCAGCAGGGAAAGCCUAGCCCAAGGUAUUGGGAUUCUGCAAGCAUUGUAUCUUGGCUGUUAAGUGACUCACCAGGCUAGAUGGAAAUAGAUGGCUUAACUCUCAAGCCUAUAAGGCACCUGUGCUGGUGGAAAGUGCAGGUUGGUUGACUGACUGGUUCCAAGUGAUGCUCUGCCAAGUCUGGAGGUAGAAGGUGGAAGGAUGCCUCUUGCACAAAAACAAAGUUGCCCCUGAUAGCUGGCUUUUCUAAGACCCAUCUCUCUGCUCUGGUAUCAAACCCGUGGGCUAAGCCAGAAAACCCAGGAAGACCAUUUCUCAACACAACAACAUAGAUUAUGCCAUGGAGAAUGCACUUACCAUGCUCUGGUGGAGUGGUGAUAACUUGUAAUGUCCUAUCUAGCAUGUGUGUGACAGUUGUCUUCUGUUGGAUGGAGAGCCAGGCCUGCUUUAGUGUAAAGAUGUUCAUCUCCUUUUCCAAGAAGCUGCUGUGGAUUGAAUGGAAUAAUUCAGAAAAGGGGAUGGAGGGAUGAGCCCAAAGGAGAGAGGAAGCCAAAAUGGAUGUUGGUGCAAAAAAACACAGCCAUUUUGAAAGCUAUAGGUCAUCCUUCAGCUUUGUGCCAUGGCACUGGUGAGAGACAGAAUGAGACACUCAGGAAACCCCUUUAACUCCAGAUUCAUGUUAAGGUAAGUAGU